GAUGAACGCUGGCGGCGUGCCUAAUACAUGCAAGUCGAGCGAACAGACGAGGAGCUUGCUCCUCUGACGUUAGCGGCGGACGGGUGAGUAACACGUGGAUAACCUACCUAUAAGACUGGGAUAACUUCGGGAAACCGGAGCUAAUACCGGAUAAUAUAUUGAACCGCAUGGUUCAAUAGUGAAAGACGGUUUUGCUGUCACUUAUAGAUGGAUCCGCGCCGCAUUAGCUAGUUGGUAAGGUAACGGCUUACCAAGGCAACGACGCGUAGCCGACCUGAGAGGGUGAUCGGCCACACUGGAACUGAGGCACGGUCCAGACUCCUACGGGAGGCAGCAGUAGGGAAUCUUCCGCAAUGGGCGAAAGCUUGACGGAGCAACGCCGCGUGAGUGAUGAAGGUCUUCGGAUCGUAAAACUCUGUUAUUAGGGAAGAACAAAUGUGUAAGUAACUAUGCACGUCUUGACGGUACCUAAUCAGAAAGCCACGGCUAACUACGUG
rnacentral:rRNA from 1 species